rnacentral:lncRNA from 1 species
GUUGGAGGUUUACAUUCUGAUUUUAAAUGAAGCUCCUCACCUAGAAUUGUGGGGGGGCUGUGAAGCCACCCUUUAUUAGCUACACAACAUCUAUGAUAAGAUAAUAUAGUCCAAACAUUUGUUGUUUUUUGAGAUUAGACUGUGUGUAGUCUUUAUAUCAUAUUAGUAGGUUUAUAGGACUAAGUUGAGAGUUUUAUAUAGUUAUAUGG